ACGCACGCUGGCGGCGUGCUUAACACCUGCCAGUCGAACGGAAAGGCCCUGCUUUUGUGGGGUGCUCGAGUGGCGAACGGGUGAGUAACACGUGAGUAACCUGCCCUUGACUUUGGGAUAACUUCAGGAAACUGGGGCUAAUACCGGAUAGGAGCUCCUGCUGCAUGGUGGGGGUUGGAAAGUUUCGGCGGUUGGGGAUGGACUCGCGGCUUAUCAGCUUGUUGGUGGGGUAGUGGCUUACCAAGGCUUUGACGGGUAGCCGGCCUGAGAGGGUGACCGGCCACAUUGGGACUGAGAUACGGCCCAGACUCCUACGGGAGGCAGCAGUGGGGAAUAUUGCACAAUGGGCGGAAGCCUGAUGCAGCAACGCCGCGUGCGGGAUGACGGCCUUCGGGUUGUAAACCGCUUUCGCCUGUGACGAAGCGUGAGUGACGGUAAUGGGUAAGAAGCACCGGCUAACUACGUG
rnacentral:rRNA from 1 species